rnacentral:lncRNA from 1 species
UAUUGACGGCUAACAUUUUGUGAGGAGCAAAGAGGAGAAGAUAUAGCUGCUAGUAUUCAUAUCCACCAUAUUUUUUGUAGGUAUGAAUUUGAACCAUCAAUUUGUUAUUUUGUGAUUCUUGUUUCUCAGGGAUAAAAUCAACAAUGGCUUACCACACAAGAUAACAACCUUGAAAGUUUGUUAUGUUUAAUUACAACACACUUGAAAUAUAUUAUUUAAGCCCACAGCUGCGAAGUACUUAAACCAGUAUAACAAGAUGAAAAUUGAAGAUCCUAAACAGGAAACACGCAUUAUAUUCUACUCCAGCAGUUUACUUAUGGAAUUCCAUGACCCAAAAGUUGCACACAGAACAGUUUGACCUUAUGCCUCUAAAGCCAGCUCCCUUUGCCAAUGCAAGAAACUUGACUUCCGAUUGCUCUUUGCCCCCUGGAUAUUGGGUCAUCAAAAUUAGAUGGGAUUGGCUCGUACUAAUCACGGUGGUACUAGUCUCAGGUUCAACUGGGAGAAUUCCCUCAACAACAAUUACCUUUCCAUCUUCAGGUAUAGCCUUACAACAGUUCUUAAGCAAUUUCAAACAGUGGUCAUCCCUCCAGUCAUGAAUUAUCCACUAUCAAGAAUGGUUACCUAAUUUAGACAAAAAUAUCUUCAAGACUAAUAAACAAUCUGCGUAGCAUAUUGUCAAUAAAAAUUAUGAGAAAAAAAUCUACAUAUAGUUUGGAUUGUUUUCUUCUUCAC